ensembl:lncRNA
CCCGCUUCCAGCUGGAACAGUACAACAUGGCCACACGCAACAGACACGUCUCUUACACAAACCAUACAGACAUGGCAAAGGUAAAUGGCGGUGGAGUUGCAAUGUACUACAAAACAGUUCUUAUAGCAGAGUCUCGAAAAUACCUGCAAAAUGUGACUGACCUUGAAUUUGUUGUUAUCAAGGUUGAAUCGCCAGUCACAGCUUUGAUAGCAACUGUAUACAGGCCACCAAAUUACAGCCACGUGAGGUUUUUACCACAAAUGCAAUGUCUUUUGGACUCAUUGGAAAUGAUGAAUUGCCAACCAAUUAUUGUUUGUGGAGAUUUCAAUGAGGACCUUAUGAGCAGAGGAAAAAAACCCAUCCAAGAACUGUUUCAGUCAAGAGGAUAUGCACAACUUAUUACUGCUGCAACUACCGAAAAACACACAUUGAUUGAUCACCUUUACAUAUCACAGCCAUACGCCUGCCUCCAAUCAGGUGUUCUGAAUACAUAUCACAGUUAUCACAACCCCAUUUAUUGUGUAAUUCACUAACACAAAAUGACUGCAAGGUUGUGAGGGAUAUGGACUUGCCAAGUGAUCUUAGUGUCUUUGCAACUGAGCACACUCUACCACCAACAAGGACAGCUCACCAGUGGGAGCUGAUACAUAAGACUGCUCUCAUCCAUUGAAGAGCUGACCAGAAACGUGAACAGAGAGACUGCAACUGCACCUGAUGGGAUCCCUGCCAUAACAGAUGUGUUCUGUCCAGUGAAGGCAGUGGAGAAGCCCUACACUGAUCUUGAAACUGUGCCACGCUAGUAGAGACCGGCUACAAGGAUGGGCAGCUGUUUUCGCAAAGUCAGCCAACCACUUGCUUCCAAAUGACCCUUAUCCAGAAGUAUCCGUGAGUGCCUCAUCAACAGAAACUAAAGUGGAGACCUACCUCUCAGAGAAAAACGCACACUGAUCUUGAAACUGUGCCACGCUAGUAGAGACCGGCUACAAGGAUGGGCAGCUGUUUUCGCAAAGUCAGCCAACCACUUGCUUCCAAAUGACCCUUAUCCAGAAGUAUCCGUGAGUGCCUCAUCAACAGAAACUAAAGUGGAGACCUACCUCUCAGAGAAAAACGCACACAUAAGAAAAGCCGACCCACUUCAGUACUGGGAAGAACAUCCUAAUCUGUUUCCCUCUAUGGCUGCUGUUGCAAUCCCAGUGUGCCCC